rnacentral:rRNA from 1 species
AUUGAACGCUGGCGGCAUGCUUUACACAUGCAAGUCGAACGGCAGCGCGGGCUUCGGCCUGGCGGCGAGUGGCGAACGGGUGAGUAAUGCAUCGGAACGUGCCCAGUAGUUGGGGAUAGCCCGGCGAAAGCCGGAUUAAUACCGCAUACGACCUGAGGGUGAAAGCGGGGGACCGAAAGGCCUCGCGCCAUUGGAGCGGCCGAUGUCGGAUUAGCUGGUUGGUGGGGUAAAGGCUUACCAAGGCGACGAUCCGUAGCUGGUCUGAGAGGACGACCAGCCACACUGGGACUGAGACACGGCCCAGACUCCUACGGGAGGCAGCAGUGGGGAAUUUUGGACAAUGGGGGCAACCCUGAUCCAGCCAUGCCGCGUGCGGGAAGAAGGCCUUCGGGUUGUAAACCGCUUUUGUUCGGGAAGAAAUCCUCUGGGCUAAUACCCCGGGGGGAUGACGGUACCGGAAGAAUAAGCACCGGCUAACUACGUG